GAUGAACGCUGGCGGCGUGCUUAACACAUGCAAGUCGAACGGUGAACACGGAGCUUGCUCUGUGGGAUCAGUGGCGAACGGGUGAGUAACACGUGAGCAACCUGCCCCUGACUCUGGGAUAAGCGCUGGAAACGGCGUCUAAUACUGGAUAUGUGACGUGACCGCAUGGUCUGCGUCUGGAAAGAAUUUCGGUUGGGGAUGGGCUCGCGGCCUAUCAGCUUGUUGGUGAGGUAAUGGCUCACCAAGGCGUCGACGGGUAGCCGGCCUGAGAGGGUGACCGGCCACACUGGGACUGAGACACGGCCCAGACUCCUACGGGAGGCAGCAGUGGGGAAUAUUGCACAAUGGGCGCAAGCCUGAUGCAGCAACGCCGCGUGAGGGACGACGGCCUUCGGGUUGUAAACCUCUUUUAGCAGGGAAGAAGCGAAAGUGACGGUACCUGCAGAAAAAGCGCCGGCUAACUACGUGC
rnacentral:rRNA from 1 species